AUAACUUAAAAGAAUUGGGUGAUUGAAUAGUAAUUUUAAACAAAGUUUAGGGAAGUAUGUGGGAAUUUACCCACGUUGAAAAAGCUUAGAAGUUACCAAUUCUAUGGCUUCUCCUUUCCAAUCUUUUUGUUAUACCGUUUCUGUUUUUUUUUGUUUUUGGGUAUCCUUCAUCUAUUCUACAGGACUUGUUGAAGCUUCGAUAGAUGCGAUGUCAACAAAAAUAGACCUCUCACUCUCCCGACCCAACCGCAUCUAUCGCCCCUCCGAGCCUCUUGAAGGCAAAAUCGUGGUGAAGUCUGCAUCUUCCAUUUCCCACUAUGGAAUUCGCAUGGCCCUCAACGGCUCAGUCAACCUCCAGGUUCGCGGAGGAUCGGCAGGAGUCAUCGAGUCCUUUUAUGGUGUUGUCAAACCAAUUACCAUCCUGAGUAGGACCCUUGAGAUUAGACCAUCUGGGAAAAUUGUUUCAGGUACAACAGAGAUACCGUUCUCUAUAACUCUGCGGAAUCCUAAAGAAGAUAAUUCAGAAAGGUUUUAUGAGACCUUCCAUGGAACCAAUAUUAGCAUCCAGUAUUUGGCAACUGUAGAUGUCAUGAGAGGAUAUCUGCACAAAUCAUUAUCUGCUACAGUGGAAUUCAUAGUAGAAAGUGAUAAAGCUGAUCUUCUUAAUCCACCAAUUUCUCCUGAGAUGGUUAUCUUUUACAUUACUCAGGACACUCAAAGACAUCCUAUACUUCCAGAACUGAAAUCAGGUGGCUUUCGUAUCACAGGAAGAAUAUCCACGCAAUGUUCGAUGCUUGAACCUCUCAGUGGAGAACUAACAGUGGAAGCAUCUGUGCUUCCCAUUUGUUCUAUUGACAUUCACUUACUUCGUGUAGAGUCAGUUCUUCUUGGGGAAAAAAUCAUCACUGAAACUUCUUUGAUACAGACUACACAGAUAGCAGAUGGAGAUGUCUGUCGCAAUAUGACUCUGCCAAUAUAUGUUGUAUUACCCCGUCUUUUGACUUGUCCAACUGUCUUAGCCGGUCCAUUCUCUAUCGAAUUCAAAGUUGCAAUAGUCAUCAUCUUUCAGUCUGAAUUAUCCAGAUUACAUCCAAAAUCUGAUCCACUAACUCCAAGAUUAUGGAUGGCAAUGGAAACUCUCCCACUUGAACUUGUUCGAGCAAGGCCUUAUGCAUCUUGGACUGUAGAAAGCUGAAGGUUUUCUAUGAUCUACUACAUAAGAACUGAGCAGUGUAGGCUGGGAACCACCAGGAACCGUAGGAAGCAAAUUUUCGAGACAUAUGAUUAAAGGAAAAGAAGUCCUAAAAGAAUUACAACAAUCACUACGAAAGAGCCACAUUUGAUGAUGAGAAGAAAGGAAGGAUUCUUGGUAAGGGAAUUCUAAAUGUUGAUGGAUUUUCUUGAGUUGAAGAACAUGUUUCCAGUUGAAGGAUGUUACAGUAUGUAAAUGAUACACGUUUCAGUAAAUAGUCAGGUGGUUAGGUAGUUGAUAAAGUUGUUAUUUUGUUAAAGUUGUUAACAGUAGUUAAGCCUAUCUCUAUUAUGUAUAUAAACAAUGUCUAUGGACUGGAUGAGGUAGCUAAGAAUUUUUGAAUAAUACCUUCAGAUAUUUCUCUUUGAGUUCUUUAGAA